rnacentral:rRNA from 1 species
CGGAGCUUGCUCCACCGAAAGAAAAAGAGUGGCGAACGGGUGAGUAACACGUGGGUAACCUGCCCAUCAGAAGGGGAUAACACUUGGAAACAGGUGCUAAUACCGUAUAACACUAUUUUCCGCAUGGAAGAAAGUUGAAAGGCGCUUUUGCGUCACUGAUGGAUGGACCCGCGGUGCAUUAGCUAGUUGGUGAGGUAACGGCUCACCAAGGCAACGAUGCAUAGCCGACCUGAGAGGGUGAUCGGCCACACUGGGACUGAGACACGGCCCAGACUCCUACGGGAGGCAGCAGUAGGGAAUCUUCGGCAAUGGACGAAAGUCUGACCGAGCAACGCCGCGUGAGUGAAGAAGGUUUUCGGAUCGUAAAACUCUGUUGUUAGAGAAGAACAAGGAUGAGAGUAAAAUGUUCAUCCCUUGACGGUAUCUAACCAGAAAGCCACGGCUAACUACGUGCCAGCAGCCGCGGUAAUACGUAGGUGGCAAGCGUUGUCCGGAUUUAUUGGGCGUAAAGCGAGCGCAGG